rnacentral:misc_RNA from 1 species
UGGCUCUCGCAUCGAUGAAGAACGCAGCAAAGCGCGAAAUGUAAUGUGAAUUGCAGAAUUCAGUGAAUCAUCGAAUCUUUGAACGCACCUUGCGCUUUUGGGCUACUCCCGAAAGCAUGCUUGUUUGAGUGUCGCGUACCUCUCAACCCCGCUUACUCUGUAAGCAGCAGGGUUGGAUCAUGGCGCCCUUGUCGUUGACUCGACUGCGCUGAAAUGCAGCAAGCUGGAUCCACGCUAUGCGGCUUGACCCGUUGUCAUAAGCUUUACACCUUUCAAUGGGGAUCGCUAGCAGGAAUGAGCUUACCAUAAAUUGAAUCUUUUAUACAUUGACCUCAAAUCAAGUAGGACUACCCGCUGA